rnacentral:rRNA from 1 species
AUUGAACGCUGGCGGAAUGCUUUACACAUGCAAGUCGAACGGUAGAGGGGGCAACCCCUCGAGAGUGGCGAACGGGUGAGUAAUAUAUCGGAGCGUGCCCAGUCGUGGGGGAUAACGUAGCGAAAGUUACGCUAAUACCGCAUACGAACUAAGGAUGAAAGCGGGGGAUCGCAAGACCUCGCGCGAUUGGAGCGGCCGAUAUCAGAUUAGGUAGGUGGUGGGGUAAAGGCUCACCAAGCCAACGAUCUGUAGCUGGUCUGAGAGGACGACCAGCCACACUGGAACUGAGACACGGUCCAGACUCCUACGGGAGGCGGCAGUGGGGAAUUUUGGACAAUGGACGCAAGUCUGAUCCAGCCAUUCCGCGUGCAGGAUGAAGGCCCUCGGGUUGUAAACUGCCUUUGUACGGAACGAAAAGGUCUCUCUUAAUACGGGGGACUCAUGACGGUACCGUAAGAAUAAGCACCGGCUAACUACGUGCCAGCCGCCGCCGUAAUAC